rnacentral:rRNA from 1 species
AUGGCUUCCUCCUCGGAUGCGAACUCGGCGACCAAUGACGGCGGCGGUAGGGGUGGUUAUGGCGGCGGCGGUGGUGCAACUGCAGAUCCCUAUUUGGAAAACUUCUUCGACCAACUGGAUAUCAAUGAGGAAGAAUUUGAUGAUGCGGAGAUUGAUGAUGAUGACCUGGAAAUCAAAGAGGGCGUUCUUUGGUUAGCCCUUGCUAGGGUUCAUACCGACAAAACCUUCUCGCCGUCGGCUUUCUACAAGGAGAUGCGGGCGGCGUGGAACCCUGCGCAGAGUGUUAGAUUCCGCCCGGUCGGGCCGAACAGAUUUGUCGUCCAGGCCUCGUGCUUGGGAGACUGGGAGAGGAUCAUGAAGCAAGGGCCAUGGUUGUUCCGCAAUAUGGUGGUACUAUUGUGCACGUACGAUGGAUUCAGUCGUGCGGAAGAGGUGGUGUUUGAUCACAUGCCGAUAUGGCUCCAGAUGCACAAGCUCCCGGACCCCUACUGUAAGGAUCACAUAGUUGAGAAGCUACUGAAGGGAGUUGGGGAGAUAUUGGAGAUGCGGCUGAAUGGUAAUACGAGGGGUGAUUAUGUGAGGAUUAGGGUUAAUCACAACAUAAAAAAAACCCUCACCAAGUUUGUCAGUAUUGUGCGAGCAAAGGAGAGGCAGGUGUACUUUGCUCGCUACGAGAAACUAGCUCGUUUUUGCAAAGUGUGUGGAUUGAUAGGCCAUGAUCAUAAGGAGUGUGGGCUAGGUAUACACGACAAGAAACAGAUGAAGUAUGGAGAUUGGUUAUAUGAGGACGAGUCGUCUAGGCCAGGACAGAGUGCGCCUGCAAGACGACCUGGCCCCCGGCCGGCGGGCAAAGUGGAUGGCCAGCCAACUCCGUCAGUGCUAAGAAAGGAGGCUACCGACCCUGAAACCCUUGAUACGGCGACAAGCCCUCUGAAACAGGUUGUGGCUAGGAUGAGGUGGACAAGGAUGCAAGGAAAUGUCUGA